rnacentral:lncRNA from 1 species
AAGACUGUUUUUUGAGAUGACUGGCGUGCAGAUGGAUAUAGAUGGAAACAGAGUGAAUGCUGUAAAAUUCCACGUGGCUCUCCAGUUUACUCAAAACUCCAAUAUGCCACAGUGAUAUCUACUGGGGCAUCAACUUUAUUUCAGAAGUUUGUGUAUAAAGAUUUAAGCCAAAAAUAUGUUUUUGUCAUUCAUUAUAUGGGAAACCACAACCUUCCUGUCCUUAAGCCACAUGGAAACUCUAAAAAAGCUUUUAACUUCCUACCAACAGCUUUAUCAAUGAGGAGUGCAAUUGUUAAUUCAAAAAAUUACAAAGAUCUACUCAUUGAUGUCAAAGACGAACAGAUGCAGUUUUAGCCAAGAAAUCCAAACAAUUUAAUUUAUAUAUAUAAAGUUAUCAGGCAAUGGAAUUCAGGAAAUUAGUAGUUUGUUUGACGGAGGAACCUCCAGCUAUUUAC